UUACGGCCCCGGUUCAUUCAUUCGGCCCGCAGCGCCCGGCCCCCGAGCCCCGGGGCGACCCCGCGAGGCCCCCGCCCCCCCCCCCGCGCCGCCGGCCCCGCGGGAGCCCGACGGGGUCCGCCCCAGGCUGGGCGCCAGGCUGCACCCGUGGGCGCCGCGCCCUCCUCCGCGGGGCGGUCGCGCGGGCGGCGCGGGUUCGAGGCCCGCCCGGGGCGGCGGCGUCUCCGGGGAGGCGGGCGCUCGGCGAGUCUUCCCCGAGGGCCGCGGGGCGCACCCACCCGGGGCCCGCAGUCCCCCCGCCUGUCGGCCGCACCCGCCGCGCCCCCCGCGGCCUCCCCGGGGCGCCCACGGGAGCCCCCAGCAAGCCCGCCCCUGGCCCGGGGGCCGCGCCCCGCUCUCCGCCCCGCGCCCCGCGCGCCCCGUGCGCCCCGCGCCCCCUCCCCGGCCGGUGACAUCCGCUCCCGCGGCCCCGCGGCGCUCCGGCAGGUCCCCGCCGCGCGCCCCCCGGCCCCGGGCCCCGCGCCCCGCGCCCCCACCCCUGCGCCAGGCUGCGCCCCGCGCCCCGCGCCCCGCGCCCCGCGCCCCUGCCCCGCGCCCGACGGGAGCCCCGCGGAGGCCGCCGUCCGGAGAACAAAGGCCGGGGGCGCGGGGGGCAGGGGCGCGGGGCAGAGGCGCGGGGGGCAGCGGGCAGGGGCGCGGGGCCCGGCGGCGGGGCGCCCUCUUACCGGCUCGGGUGCUGUGCCCCCGGGGAGCGCGGUGCCGCGAGCGGCGCGGGUGCGGGCGUGGCCGGCGGGUGCCUGGCCGCGGGCGGAGGCUGAGUCCCGGCUCGACGGCCGAGCCCGCAGCGAGGAGCGAGUGGGAGCUGCCGCCGCCGCCGCCGCCGCCGCCGCUACUGCCGCCGCCGCCGCUCCUGCCGCCGCAGCCCCUGCGCCGCUCGCGCCCGCGCUCCCCCUCCCCUUCCUGCCCAGCGCCCUCCCCCGGCGCCCGCCCGCCGCCCGCCUCCCGCCUCCCGCCUCCCGCCGCCCGCCGCCCGCGAACCCCGCCCCUCCGCGCCGCCCCGGGCCCCGCCCGCCUCCCCUGCGCCCGGCCCCGCCGCCCCGGCCCCCGGCCCCCGGCCCCCGGCCCCCGGCUUGCGCGCGCCCCCCUCCGCGCCCCUCCCCCGCCGAGCCGAGCCCCGCGUCCGUGGGCAGCCCUCGCCCUCGCCCUCGCCCUCGCCCUCGCCCUCGCCCUCGCCCUCGCCCGCCCUCUCUCCGUCUCCCCUGGACUGGCCGCAGAGGCCCGCCCCGGGGUGCCCACGGCGCCCCCUGCACCUGCUGCCCGUCCCGCGCCCCGCACCCUCGCGCGCCGCGCCCGCCGGAGCCCCGGACACCUGGACACCCGGACACCUGGACGCCUGGACACCUGGACACCUGGACACCCGGACACCCGGACGCCUGGACACCCGGACACCCGGACGCCUGGACACCCGGACACCUGGACACCCGGACACCCGGACACCUGGACACCCGGACACCUGGACGCCUGGACACCUGGACACCCGGACACCUGGACACCCGGACACCCGGAGGCCUGGACACCCGGACACCCGGACGCCUGGACACCCGGACACCUGGACACCCGGACACCCGGACACCUGGACGCCCGGACACCUGGACGCCUGGACACCCGGACACCCGGACACCGGGACACCCGGACACCUGGACACCCGGAUACCCGGACACCGGGACAGCUGACAGCUGGACACCCAGACGCCUGGACACCGGGACAGCUGGACACCCGGACACCGAGACACCCGGACACCUGGACGCCUGGACACCGGGACGCCUGGACAGCUGGACAGCUAGACACCUGGACGCCUGGACACCCGGACACCCGGAGGCCUGGACGCGCGGGAGGCCGAGACGACCCGGCACCGCGCGGCCGCAGGGGGCCGCCGACCCAGGGCGAGUCCGCGAGCGCGGCCGGGGCGAGGGCGGCGGCCCAGGUCCGCCCGCGUGGGGAGGGCGCCGCGCCGCGCCCCGCGAGGAUGCUGUGGGCGGAGGGCAGGCGGCGGCCGAGCAGAGGCAGCGGCGGGUCCUGCGCGGUGGCGAGCGGCGGGGCCGGGGGUCGGGGGGUCCGGGGGGCGGGGGCGGGGACGGGGACGGGGACGGGGACGGGGACGUCCACCCACCUGGCUCACCUGCCGGCGGGGAGCGGAUGCGGGAGACGGCGCGGCGACGCUCACCCCGGCUGCUCGUCCUCAGACAAAAGCCCGCGUCACCUGCCCGCGGCCGCCGGGACCUCGGGGCCCCUCUUUGCGGCCCGCUGGCGCCCUCUGGCUGCGCCCGGUCGGCCUGGGCGUACCCGCGGCCCCGGGAAGCCGGCGGCGCCCUCCUCACCUGGGCGGGGCGCCCUCCUCACCUGGGCGGGGCGGCGCGUCCUCCGCCCUCGCAGGCCCGGGACGCGGACGAAGGCCUCCGUCCUCCGUCCUUAGGGGAGGAUGCCACAGGCAGGUGCGUCCGCAGGCAACUGGGGGAGACACUUUUUAACGGGAAAGGUGAUGGCCUUCUUACCGACCAGUUGCCUUGACAUCUGCUGACCCGGCUGGAAUCGGACAAGGACAAGCAGCGUCCCAGUGGCCGUGCAGACAAGCUGGAUCUUUAGACACGAACGGUUUCAAGUCCUAAGUGCCUCUGCUUCCGGCUUUGUGAGUUUGACCACAGAUCUUCAUCUCACUUAGUCUCAGUCUUUUCAUCUGGAAAAUGGAAAUGUUUACAACUUCACUGGGUGGUUUGGAGGAUUAUACAAGAAAAUGUAUCUAAAUCCCUCAGCCAGUUCAUAAGACACACUCAGAAAAAUGUGUCCUGAAGAAGCUGAUGUUAGGGGCGCCCGGGGCGGGGGCUCAGGGGUGGAGCAUCUACCUUCCGCCCAGGGCAUGAAGGGGGUGGGCCUGCAGGGCUCCCCCCGGGGGGUGGGGGGGACAUGCUGCGGAACCCAGGGAGGGCAGACAAGCAGAGAGCACAGCCUUUCCCCGAGGCCUGAGAAAAUAGGAUUGGCCUCAGCCCCCGUAACUACCCAUCUAAAAAUUUUAAAACACGACCCCCUGCCUAAAUCUCAAUUUUAUACUGUAUGUCUUAUUCACUGACCAUCUCAAAGGUACGGAUACUUUUUAAAGAGAAACUAAAGACCAGAUUCAAACACCAAGUCCCCGCCUCCGGGCAGGUACAGUAGGACGGAGAAGCUUACCAUCCAGGGCACGAGGUCGCACACUUCUUUUCUGAAAGGGCCGAACAGUGACUCUUUCAGGUUCUGCAGCCCACGGGACUCCUGUGGCUCCUGCCAAAGCCCGCCCUGGGGGCAGGAAAGCAGCCACAGACAAUGCAAAAACAGGUAGGCAAGGCUGCGUGCCAAUAAAGCUUUAUUUACAAAACCCGUUUGGACACAGGGGGUGCAGGUUGCCCAUCCCUGCAAAAUUCACCCGUAGACUAGAAUAAAGUAAGUUUCACGCUUCCUCUCACAAAUUCAGAAUUCUCAUUUUACGUGCCUUAAAAAAAUUAUUCUGGAGCAACAAAUAAAUGCAAGCAACAAAAAGGAGCUCUGCAAUUUUUUUUUUUAACGUGCUACAUAGAGUGUCGUGUGAAUAUUUUCUAUUCUCAAAUCAUUUUCUUUUCACUAUGCUAAACUCUACAUUCUUCAAAGUCUCCAAAUCCAUUCAGAUGUUUCUUUCGUCAACUCCAAACGUUUACGACUGACACACGAGGUGAUGAAAAUUUGCAUUUAAUCCUGAUUUCCAUUAAGAGGGGCUUACACUCACUUCUGAAGCUUAUUGUAUUUUAAUCUCAUUAACUUCACAUUUAUUGUCCCAGUAAUUGAAAUAUAGCUUGACAUAUUUGCCAGUCUAGUCUGGAAUUACCCCCUUGUCGGGAAGCAAAAUGGGGGGAAAAAAGCAGAAGAGAAGAUAACACGUUUAAAUGCAAACAAUAUAUUAAGCAUAAUAAAUGUCAGGCUUCCUGCAGGACAUUUUCCUGAAAGGAAUGUUUUUAAAUAUUAUACAAUAAAAAACUUUUGCUUCGUGAUAUGGGAUAGCAGACGGACUCCAGCUAAAUAAAAUAGGUGCAGACCCAGCUCCAUUUAUCUUAGAUUCACCCCUAGAGAUUGCAGUUUGCAAUCUGAGUCGGAAUUUAAUUCUUACUCUGUAAUUAAAUGUUGAGAACUGUUCAAAGGUCCUAGUCUGGUUUAAAUCGAAAAUGCAACAACAUGCUGAGAUGCUGUCUUUUUAAAAAUUCAUUUAUUUCUUAUUAUUAGAGAAGGAGAGAGGGGGGAGGAGCCGAGGGAGAGAGAGAACCUCAAGCAGAAAGAACCUGCUUCUGGCACAGAGACUGACUCGGGGCUCCUUCCCAUGACCCCAAGACCAUGACCUGAGCUGAAAUCAAGAGUUGGAUGCUCCACUCACUGAGCCACCCAGACGCCCCUGAGGUCCUGUCUUUUUAAAUCACUGUUCACACUUAAAAGUGGAAGGAACCGAGUUGCCCAAGAACGUACAGCCAAUGCCAAGCCCCGCAGCCCCCCGGGGGGAUGUCACUAAUAAAUCUAUAUCAACUAAUCAUAGAUUUGGGGCAGCUCUGGUGGCUCAGUGGUUUAGUGCCACCUUCAGCCCAGGGUGUGAUCCUGGAGACCCGGGAUCGAGUCCCACAUGGGGCUCCCUGCGUGGAGCCUGCUUCUCCUCUGCCUGUGUCUCUGCCUCUCUCUCUGUGUGUGUAUCUCAUGGAUAAAUAAAUAAAAUCUUUAAAAAAAAUCAUAGAUUUUUUUCCCAUGGCCAAAACAUCACAGAUAGUGCCAUACGCAGAUCCCACUGCCCAUUAGACCUCACCCCAAGGUUGACCCGUAACUGUCGCUUCCGAGAGAGUUCGGUCCCCAUUGUACAAAUUGGAAAGCCCUGGGGUGAAAGAACCUUUCCGCGUGCUAAGCAGCCUUCUCUUCAUCACAAUCCCGUUCUGCUUCCAUUUCGGGGGCCCCAGGUUCCCCGGACACCAGGGCAGGCUCGGCGUGCCUGCUCCCACCGCAUGAAUGCAUAGGCCGAAUUAAGCACAUUCAUCAAGCACCUGCUAAAGAAACCAUCCCAGGGACAGCCCCGGUGGCACAGGCGCCUCCUCAGCCCAGGGUGUGAUCCUGGAGACCCGGGAUCAAGUCCCGCAUCAGGCUCCCUGCGUGGAGCCUGCUUCUCCCUCUGCCUGGGUCUCUGCCUUUCUCUCUCUCUCUCUCUCUGUGUCUCUCAUUAAUAAAUAAAUAAAAUUAAAAAAAAAUAAAUAAACCAUCCCAAGUGCUGGGAACUCAGCCACCAGCAAGGCAGAUGUGGUUCUCAUGGCACAAGAGGUAAAAACAACGUUUAAGACACUUUGUCGUGGGGAUCCCUGGGUGGCUCAGCGGUUUAGCGCCUGCCUUUGGCCCAGGGCGCGAUCCUGGAGUCCCGGGAUCGAGUCCUGCGUCGGGCUCCCUGCAUGGAGCCUGCUUCUCCCUCUGCCUGGGUCUCUGCCCCUCUCUCUCUAUGUUUAUCAUAAAUAAAUAAAAAUUAAAAAAUAAAAAUAAAUUAAGACACUUUGUCGUGAUGGGAAGCAGAGGGACAGCGCUUCAGCUGGAGAUAAAGUGGGACGAAGGGCAGACUGGUUCCACUGGAAGCCACUGAGCGCGCGUAGGUGCAAGGGCACAGCAGGGGGAGGAGGCAGCCCUUGGGAAGGUGAGAAAGGAGGUCAUGGGACACACGACGUCCCUGAGUCCUCAAGAAGACGAGAGCCGUUUGCACCCAGGGAAUAGAAAAGGCAAGGGCUGCCCUCGUAGCGGCGGGGCUGGAUGGCUCACAGGCGACAGAGGGGACACGGGCCCAGUGCGGCGGGGUGCGAGGUUGACAAGCGUGCAAAUGCCAGCUCAUGCACACGAGGCCUCCGGCUGCCCCGUAAGCUCCAGGGCCGGGCUCCUGCCCAUCGCACUGGGGAUGCCAGGUCCCCCGCAG
rnacentral:lncRNA from 1 species